GCAUGUUCACAGUCUCCGGGUGGACGGUGUAUCCUCUCCGCUCAGAGCUGAAGUGGGUCGGCCGUGUGUUCGGGAAAGACUUUCGACUCUUCCUUCGAGAUCACUCUCUGCGGGCCGAAGAUAUCACUUCAAUACUUCGGUAUUGAGACCGAUCCCGAGCGGGGAGAUCUGAUGUUGGCCGUGAGCCCGGAACUGAGGGCCAGUUAAUCAUCUAUUUUCCAGCUAUCUGGGCUCGUCAGAAAUGUGUCGACUUAACUUAAUCUGCAUUGAACGAUCCAAACCAGGAGCCCAGGCUGUCUGUUUCAGCAGAAUUGAAAUGGAAGACUCGCAGACAGGUCACUUGUGUCUUGUGCCGCAGAUUCGCCCCGCCUCCGCUUUGUGACGCCAGAUCACGUGGUUGAUUUUGGCCACUGACUGUGUUCAGUUAAAACUGCGGUGAGAGAUUUAUUGGAAGAAAACGCAUGACUGAAGACGAGGGAACAGCAACAUGUGAACCAGCCCGAGGAUUGAGAGCACUGACUGGAGAGGACCCAUAUGACUCGGAGAUUCCAGUGAUUCAGUCAGGAGAAAGUUUGAUUUGGAGUAGAUACUAAUGAAGAGAGUGGUUUUAACAUCGAAACCAGACUCCGUUAGUGAUCUAUUGCUGCUGAUCCACAAUAUUAAACACCAGUCUAGUUUAAGACAAAUAUCAGCAGAACGGACUCCUCCAAUACUCAGUGACCAGGGUUCAGUCCUGGGUGCGAUGAGCAGCCGCAAGAACUGCAGAAUCUGACAGUAACAGUCCCUCAUGGACCUGCAGCUGCCUUCAGUCACCGUGAUGGCUAAACAUUUAACACGGAGCUGAUUUGAACUUCCUCCCUGAUGUGAAGUUGCUGCUGUUGCAGCAGCUGGGAUGAUUGAGUGAAACUCUUUGCUCACUCCGGACAGAAAUGUGGCCUCUAUUUAUUGUGAACUCACCGGAGCAUCACAAGGUGGGUUAACUGAAUGAGUCUCUUCGCACACACGGAGCAGGUGAACGGCCGCUUCCCAGUGCGAAGCUGUUAGUGUAUCUGCGGUGGCCGACUGAAUCCCUUCCAAAAUGAGAGCCAGUGAAUGACGUCAAAGUGCUCUGAACGUCAUGGCGAUGUAUCCAAUCAGAUCACGGACAUGGACACAUGUUCGGGCUCUCCUUGUUGCGAGUGGGGCGCUGUC